CCCAUUCACUCUCUCCGCCGGACGACGGCGGCGCCGGUGCUGUGCCGCGAGAUGUCCAACAAUGGUGUUGACUGCAAUGGGACUCCAUGAGUGUCGUCAAUGGCCAGAUGGGCGACGGCGGCGCGACCGCACAUCCACGAUGCGUGUUCAUGCGGCGGUGCUGAUUGGUGCUGUCCUACCGGUGAAGUCGCAGGAUUCCAUGGCAUCGCAGAUGACCAGAUGGGCCGCGGUGGCGAGGGCAUAGAGAUGUAUGGGAACACCGGCUUUGCGGCGUGAUCAGAAGCUAUAAGUGGCUGGACAAGGAGGAUUAGGAUACGGAGGAGAGGGAGAUCCCAACUGCUCUAGAGCAUAUCCAGAGAAGAGUGAUGGGCCAGUUGUGGAUCCCUGAAUGUUGUUCUGUACUAUUGUUGUGAACUGUCAAUGGUGGUGUGUGUGGAUUUGUCCUAGCUCAACAAUCUCUGUCGUGUGGAUUUGUUGUAGCUCAGCAAAUGCUUGUUUGGUGGCUAAUAUAAUUAGUUGCAGUCA